ensembl:lncRNA
AUUUUCUAAAAAUUAACCAUUGAUACUUCACCUUUCUCAAAAACCCUUAGCUGAUGGGGCCCCUGGGUGGCUCAGUGUGUUAAGCGUCAGACUUCGGCUCAGGUCAUGAUCUUACAGUCUGUGGGUUCGAGCCCUGUGUUGGGCUCUGUGCUGACAGCUCAGAGCCUGGAGCCUGCUUCGGAUUCCGUACCUCCCUCUCUCUCUGACCCUCCCCUGCUCUCUCUGUCUCUCAAAAAUAAAUAAAAAACAUUAAAAAAGUUAAAAAAAAAAAAAGCCUUAGUUGUAAGAGCAGGAGGAAACCGUAACACCAUAUUCAGUCCCGCCUGCUUCUCCGUCAGCUCUGGCUUCUUCAAAGGCUCCGUUAGAUCUUGGGUGAUGACGCAUCCCACACCCGCCCCUUCACACUCACGCGCUCCCCUGAGCUCAGCCCGUUUCCCACGGCCCCCCAGGGUCCCAGUGUCUGUCUGGCCCUGGGGUGGCCGCUGGCCAGCUGGCAGGCACCGGACUUGUGUCUGCACUGGGUCCGGAGCGGCCAGCAGGGGCCGCUGUGUCUUUGUUUUUCAUCCAAGCUCCCCUACUGCUCAGAAGGUUUGUUUCUGGAAGGGCAUCUAACACAUCCCCCCGGAGACAGUCAAGGUAAAGGCUUACACAAUCCGGCAAGGAAAGACCUGCGUUCAAAACGCGGGCACAGGAAGAAGCAUCAGUACACGUUGAGCAGAUGGAACAGGACCGAGCCCUCGGGGACAUUAGAAAAGCAAAGAGUGUCCGCAAACCAGAGCGCUGACGACCACCUGGGGGGCAGCAGCGUCUCCGGAGCUCCAGCCAGCAGCCACAGGAGGCCAGAGACGCCGUUGGACGACUCCGCCAUCUCGUAUGACUACUCCGAGGAGCAGCUGAUGGCCAGCAUCGAGCGGGAAUACUGUCGCUGAGGCCGCUCCUCUGCCACCGGCCCCCCGACCAGACUGGGGCCACACAGCAGCCUCCCUGGAGUCGCCUGCAAGAUCCAAGGACAUCUCCGGAGCUGACGAAGGGCCCCUUGGCGCUGUCCCCAGACCCACUGGCCGGCUGCCAUCACAGGCAGCCGGGUGUUUCCAUGAACUGUUAUUACUUGACAAGAGAGCUUUGAUGGGAGGCUCCGGAGGGUCCCGCUGCCCAGCCAGAGGCGGCCCCUGGGGCCUCCCAGCAGCCGAUGGCCCGACCUUGCCAGGGAGACAGCUGCGCCCCAUCCAAGCUCAGAUCUUUUUUUUCAAAAUCAAAGAUGAGCGCUAUUAGGAUUCAAAUCAUACAAAAUACUUCUUCUAAAAGAAGUGACAAUAUUAUUUCUCACCCCCAAGCAGACGAGGCCUUGAAUUGAAUGACGUAAAGUGUUUACAAUUUUACACUGUUGUCUUGUUAAUUCGGAAAAGGUUCAGCCCAUUUCCAAGGGAAGGACAAUACCCCUCCCUCAAGGAGAUGAAAGUGUGAAGAAAAUAAAAUUCCUCCUGUGGGUGCCGCCUUCUGUGUGGGCGGCCAGGUGAGAGCCUGUAAUUAAAGCAGUCAUUCUUAGGGCUUUUUUUGUUUCUAAUUUCCUGAAUGCAGAAAAGUGUCUUCUUUUAAAAUGUUUAUUUAUUUUUGAGAGAGAAAGAGAGAGAGAGAGAGCAAGAGCGGGGGAGGGCAGAGAGAGGGAGACAGAAUCCGAAGCAGGCUCCGGGCUCCCAGCUGUCAGCACAGAGCCUGAUGCAGGGUUCGAACUCAUGAACUGUGAGAUCAUGACGGGAGCCGAAGUCUGAUGCUUAACUGACUGAGCCCCCCAGGCGCCCCUGAUGGUCCAGAGUCAUAGAGCCACUUCGCACAGGACUGCCUUUAGUGGGCUGUGCCCCCCUGGAGGUCCUGCUCAGUGCCAUCCGGGGCCACGUCUCUGAAGCCCCUGCCACUGUGGGCCUGGCCCUCCGCUUGAUGCCGGGUCCGUGGGUGAGCUGGGUCUGGUCUCUGUCCGGGAGGACGUGCUGUCUCUAGGGGCCGGGACACCCAUACACACGUCUUCCCUCUGGAGAAGGUAGAGUCGACCCCCCACUGAAGGUCUAGUCCGUGCGGGUGGAUGUUCUUCUGUUCUGGCGAUAAUUAGGCAGAAGAACAGCCUUCUAGAGUGUCAUCAGGGGGCUGAACCACAUCUGAGACUCUGAAGGUCGGUGCCCUCCUCCAGGAAGGGGAUGACCCAAAUCAGACCUUUGGUGUGGUGACAUCUGGACCCCUGGGGACAGAUCCAACCUCGACAGGCCGGCAGGGCUCUGUUUUCUGGCGUGCUGAAAUCUUCAGUUUCCAGGGCUGGAAAGGAAAAGCUGCUUUCUCUGUGGGGUGUGGACAUUGGGAAGGAAAGGUGGCACUUAGUGUAAGUCCUGCUGGACCCCGCGGGGAGCUGGGGCCUGGAGCGUGGCCACCCGGGGGACUAAAGGAGCGUGUGGUUUUGUGUGGCACCAAGUGUCAGGGACCUGUGGCCAGCUGUCAACAUGACACCACUUGGCAGCAAGAAUCACCUCGGCCGUGUCACUCCUGAUGUGGGCCAAGAGGCUGAGGACACGUUGUAGGGAAAGUGGAGAAAGUGCCGGGGGAAGGGCUGAGUUUCCUACUGCUCUGACAGCAGAGAACCUGAGUGGCAAAUAAAAAUAAUACGACCUGGGGCACCUGGGGGGCUCAGUCAGUUAAGCGUCUGACUUCGGCUCAGGUCAUGAUUUCACGGUUUGUGGGAUUGAGUCCCGCGUCGGGCUCUGUGCUGACAGCUAGGUCAGAGCCUGGAGCCUGCUUCGGAUUCUGUGUCCCUCUCUCACUCUGCCCCUCUCCUGCUCAUGCUGUCUCUCUCUCUCUCUCAAAUAUAAACAUUUAAAACAUAAAUAAAUAAAAAAAAUACAACCUUAGUAGCACCUUACGUGAGUGAAGCACAGGUCACAGAAGCAGUGUGUGUGUGUGUGUGUGUGUGUGUGUGUGUGUGUGUGUGUGUAAUUUGUACAAGUAAUUGAGAGAACUCGCUCUGUGCCAGGGUCUGUGCCAGGUGGGCCCAGGAGUAUAAACAGAUGUGAGAGGAGAGAGCCG